CGAUAACGAACGAGACCUUAACCUGCUAAAUAGUUAGGCCAACGUUUGUUGGUCGUCAACUUCUUAGAAGGACUAUUAACUAUUAGUCAAUGGAAGUUUGAGGCAAUAACAGGUCUGUGAUGCCCUUAGAUGUUCUGGGCCGCACGCGCGCUACACUGAUCAAGUCAACGAGUUUACAACCUUGGCCGGAAGGUCUGGGUAAUCUUUUGAAACUUGAUCGUGCUGGGGAUAGUCCAUUGCAAUUAUUGGACUUCAACCAGGAAUUCCUAGUAAGCGUGAGUCAUCAGCUCGCGUUGAUUACGUCCCUGCCCUUUGUACACACCGCCCGUCGCUACUACCGAUUGAAUGGCU
rnacentral:rRNA from 1 species